UAGUCUACGCCGUAAACGAUGGUUACUAGCUGUUUGGAACUUGUUUCUGAGUGGCUAAGCGAAAGUGAUAAGUAACCCACCUGGGGAGUACGUUCGCAAGAAUGAAACUCAAAGGAAUUGACGGGGGCCCGCACAAGCGGUGGAGCAUGUGGUUUAAUUCGAUGAUACGCGAGGAACCUUACCAGGGCUUAAAUGUAGUAUGACAGACUGAGAGAUCGGUUUUUCUUCGGACAUAUUACAAGGUGCUGCAUGGUUGUCGUCAGCUCGUGCCGUGAGGUGUCAGGUUAAGUCCUAUAACGAGCGCAACCCCUGUGGUUAGUUGCCAGCGAGUAAUGUCGGGAACUCUAGCCAGACUGCCGGUGCAAACCGUGAGGAAGGUGGGGAUGACGUCAAAUCAUCACGGCCCUUACGUCCUGGGCCACACACGUGCUACAAUGGUAGGGACAGAGAGCAGCCACUUCGCGAGAAGGAGCGAAUCUUCAAACCCUAUCACAGUUCGGAUCGGAGU
rnacentral:rRNA from 1 species